rnacentral:rRNA from 1 species
GACGAACGCUGGCGGCGUACUUAACACAUGCAAGUCGAGCGGUAAGGCCCUUUCGGGGGUACACGAGCGGCGAACGGGUGAGUAACACGUGGGUGACCUGCCCUCAGCUCUGGGAUAAGCCCGGGAAACUGGGUCUAAUACCGGAUAUGACUUCAUGACGCAUGUUGUGGAGUGGAAAGCCUUGUGCGGCUGAGGAUGGGCCCGCGGCCUAUCAGCUUGUUGGUGGGGUGAUGGCCUACCAAGGCGACGACGGGUAGCCGGCCUGAGAGGGCGACCGGCCACACUGGGACUGAGAUACGGCCCAGACUCCUACGGGAGGCAGCAGUGGGGAAUCUUGCGCAAUGGGCGAAAGCCUGACGCAGCGACGCCGCGUGAGGGAUGACGGCCU